GUGAAUCAUCGAAUUUUUGAACGCAAAUUGCACUCUCUGGUAUUCCGGAGAGUAUGCCUGUUUGAGGGUCAGUUUAAAUAAUAAUCGGUGUGGUUGCUGCCUUUCGUAGUGAUGCACCGGGUUUGGGUCGUCUUGCCCUAGGUUCAGUGGCCUAAACUUUUGCAUGAUUUUUUUGAACGUUUCUAAUUGAUCUUACGUUCGUUUGCGAUCUUCAAUCCUAGGUGUAGUU
rnacentral:misc_RNA from 1 species